rnacentral:tmRNA from 1 species
GGGGAUGAUCGGUUUCGACGAUGUUUGUCGCGACAGGGGAAGCGGGCCGAGGAUGCAGAGUUAUCUCGUAAACGCUCUCUGCAAACCAAUAAGUGCCGAAUCCAAGCGCACUGACUUCGCUCUCGCUGCCUAAGCAGCGGGCAUAGUCCGUCAGCCCGGGGAUGCUCUCGCCCCGGAUCCUGGCGUCAUUUAGAGAGCCACUGCUGGACACCUUCGCCGUCGGGGUGUCCGGGACUCUUAGACGGCUGGGCCCGGAUCAGCCACUCGUUCGCGAAGAUGGCUGGGGCCAAGAAAAUCCGACGCGGACUGCGCCCGGAGAAGCCCUGACAACACGACAUCGGACGGGGGUUCGAUUCCCCCCAUCUCCAC